rnacentral:misc_RNA from 1 species
AAGUCGUAACAAGGUCUCCGUUGGUGAACCAGCGGAGGGAUCAUUACCGAGUUUACAACUCCCAAACCCACUGUGAACCGUACCCAAAACACGUUGCUUCGGCGGUACCGCCCCGGCGCCCUCGGGCCCGGAGCCAGGCGCCCGCCGGGGGACCACGCAAACCCUUUCAGUGAAUCCCGGGGCCCCCACCAGGGCCGCGGCGGCAUUAUCUGAGUGAAGCGAAAUACAAAACGCAUCAAAACUUUCAACAACGGAUCUCUUGGUUCUG